GACGAACGCUGGCGGCGUGCCUAAUACAUGCCAGUUGAGCGCUGAAGGUUGGUACUUGUACCAACUGGAUGAGCAGCGAACGGGUGAGUAACGCGUGGGGAAUCUGCCUUUGAGCGGGGGACAACAUUUGGAAACGAAUGCUAAUACCGCAUAAAAACUUUAAACACAAGUUUUAAGUUUGAAAGAUGCAAUUGCAUCACUCAAAGAUGAUCCCGCGUUGUAUUAGCUAGUUGGUGAGGUAAAGGCUCACCAAGGCGAUGAUACAUAGCCGACCUGAGAGGGUGAGCGGCCACAUUGGGACUGAGACACGGCCCAAACUCCUACGGGAGGCAGCAGUAGGGAAUCUUCGGCAAUGGACGAAAGUCUGACCGAGCAACGCCGCGUGAGUGAAGAAGGUUUUCGGAUCGUAAAACUCUGUUGGUAGAGAAGAACGUUGGUGAGAGUGGAAAGCUCAUCAAGUGACGGUAACUACCCAGAAAGGGACGGCUAACUACGUG
rnacentral:rRNA from 1 species